UUUAGUUGGCAGACGAAAAUGUAUGAACAUCAAACAAGCACAAUAUUCGCAGAACCGAAGUGAAUCCUAACAGUUUAUUUGGAUACAUCAUUAUGAAGAAAACAACCCACUUUAACUACUCAAUUAAUUAGCUGGUGGAGUAAAACUUGGUCUCUGCAACUCUGUUCAUACUUUAAUAUAAUUCCUUAAGAAAACAUUUGUGAGGACUGUUUCUGAUUCAAAUGUGGCUUUCAGUUAUCAACAGAGAAACUCACUUCUAUUAUUAAUACCACAACAAAAGAGAUGGUAGACAUUGGUUUCACCAUCAGAUUACAAAGUCUGUGUAGCUUUAACAUAUAUACCCCACUUGCUUGCUUGGACUUGGCGUGUGAUAUUCAUAAUUUUAGAGGGUGAACCAAACAAGGUGUAACUGGAGAAUCCAGGACACCCUUGAGAAUCUGUCUGAAGCUGUAAAAUUGAAAUAUUCAGCUUUUCUGAUUCUGGUUUUCCAGCUUUCUCUUCUUGAUACACUAGCAAAGCUUUUUGAUACAUGUUGUAGCAAGGGAGGCAUUUUGGAGCAGAUAUCUUAGCCCUCAAGAGAGAGUUGUUGUGCUAAGUUGGUUGCAGAUAGUGCGGAUCAAGGUAUAAUUACACAUUAAUCUACACUGCCAAAGCAUUCUGAACCAGCCACACCAUUUUCCCAAAGAAGCCCCAUGAUCGAACCCAGUGGUAGCUCAAAGACCCCAUAGAGGAAAUCAACCAAAUCCAUUCCAUCCUCACCCAACCCAACCUUCCUAGUGGUUGUUACCACAUCAAGAUUCACAAUAAUAAUAUAUUUGUUUGUUGUAGCCAUUUCAGCCACAAGCAAGCAUUAUUAUGUGGAGAAAGAGGGUUUGGACUAGGAGUGUAAGAGAGAAAAUUGCAUUUCCUGAGGAAAUUUUCACAUGGUGCCUGGUAAAUAAAUCAUUCCCCACCGUCCAUUUUACUUCUUUUCUUUUUUCUGGUAAAAAAAUAAAAGCUGCAAUUUGCCUUGGAAGUGCAAUUGCUUUCUUUGUAAAUACAUAAUUCUUCCACGUCGCAAGAGGAGUGGUUACUGGUAUGCUGCUUGGAAAACCAACUCAAAGUAGACAAAAGUUGGAUCUUUAAUUUGUUGGCUUCUCUUUGUUACUUGUCAAAAAAGCAAUUGAAUUAUUGUACCAUAUAGUAUUUAUUUAUUGCAGAGACGUCACAUUUCUUUGUCAAGAUUCAUGUUUGAUUCUUUUUUUUUGACAGGAAAAAAAAAAGAUUUUGAAGCCAAUUUUCAUCUGCUUCAACUUCGAAAACUCAUAAGCAAAACAUUAUUG
rnacentral:lncRNA from 1 species